GCACGCAGGUCCAGGAGUUGCGCCAGCGCGUGGUUGGCAGCCCAACACGAGCGCCAACAACUGGCGCUCACGCUCAAGGAGCGCGACAACGAGCUCACGGCCAAGGACUACAAGAUCCAACAAGCCCGCAAAAUGGUGGAGGACGAGCGACGCGGGCGACUAGCCGCCGAACAAGAUCGCGAUGCCUUUGCCCAACAGUUGGACAUGCUGAAGGAUAUCCUCCUGUCGCCCAAUUCGGAGCGCGUUUUUUGACAAUGAAACUUUAGAACGAGUGCGUCACAUCGACACGACGCGUCGCCAUUCGCCCUACAAAGGCCCCCCCACCUUUAGCCGCGGCUCGAAGAGUCCAUCGAAUCCAUCUUGGAUGUGUCGGACUUAAGCUUCGACGACAACACGCGCGACAAUCUGGAAGUUUCGCGGAAUCGUCAGAAACGCCGUUCCUCAGCCCGACAUGAAGCCAAGAAAGCUCGGAAAUCUCGCAGCUUAGGCAAUCGUUUAGACAGUGGGAGCAGAUUCUCACCACCACAACCCGUGUCAUAGUGGACCAAGCCGGCCAGCCUCAUGCCGAAUCCGUCAUUGAAGCCGUUCCCGUCAAGAUGGACGUGUCGAUGCGCGAAUGAAACGAGCCGCACGCAAGCCCGCGAAUCGCGCGGGAGAGACGGGUUACUUACAAUGAGCGACCCGAGUUCGAACCCAGUGCCCCGCCUUACAAUGGUGAGGAUUGGCCACCACGCCCCGAGUCAAGCGUCAUAUCAGCAACGCCAGCUCUGUCCCCCUCGGCCGCAUUUCUUUACGAAGAAAGCGUGGUCGUCUCGGAGAAGUGCCAACCUUGUGGAAAGCGCAUGGGAUUCAGGAAACAUGCUUGAAAUGUCGUGACUGUGGGGUGACUUGUCACCCCGACUGCCGCAACGAUGUCCCCAUCCCUGCAUGGGCCCCGGUAACCGGACUCCAACGCCCGACCCAAUGAAAAAGCUGCUUUGGUGGACUUUUGCUCCAAUGAACCCCCCAUGAUUCCCGCCAUCUUGAUGCACUGCAUCCGAGAAGUGGAAGCCCGAGGU